rnacentral:rRNA from 1 species
GGGCGCAGCAGUCGCGAAAACUUUGCAAUACACGCAGUGUGACAGGCUAUUCGAGUGCCAUCCGCUGCUUAAGUCUUUUACCAGUCUAGAAAGCUGGGGGAAUAAGGGGAGGGCAAGUCUGGUGUCAGCCGCCCGUAGUAAUACCAGCUCUCCGAGUGGUGUGGAUGUUUAUUGGGCCUAAAGCAUCCGUAGCUGGCUAAGUUAGUCCCUUGUUAAAUCCACCGAAUUAAUCGUUGGAUCGCGGGGGAUACUGCUUGGCUAGGGGACGAGAGAGGCAGACGGUAUUUUCGGGGUAGGGGUGAAAUCCUAUAAUCCCGGGAAGACCACCAGUGGCGAAGGCUGUCUGCUAGAACGCGCCCGACGGUGAGGGAUGAAAGCUGGGGGAGCGAACCGGAUUAGAUACCCGGGUAGUCCCAGCUGUAAACGAUGCAGGCUAGGUGUUUGGACGGCUACGUGCCGUUCUAGUGCCGCAGGGAAAGCUGUUAAGCCUGCCGCCUGGGGAGUACGAUCGCAAGAUUGAAACUUAA